rnacentral:rRNA from 1 species
AGCGCAGGCGGGAAGACAAGUUGGAAGUGAAAUCUAUGGGCUCAACCCAUAAACUGCUUUCAAAACUGUUUUUCUUGAGUAGUGCAGAGGUAGGCGGAAUUCCCGGUGUAGCGGUGGAAUGCGUAGAUAUCGGGAGGAACACCAGUGGCGAAGGCGGCCUACUGGGCACCAACUGACGCUGAGGAGCGAAAGCGUGGGGAGCGAACA